rnacentral:rRNA from 1 species
UACGGGGGGGGGCAAGCGUUUGUUCGGAAUUACUGGGCGUAAAGGCUCGUAGGCGGCCAACUAAGUCAGACGUGAAAUCCCUCGGCUUAACCGGGGAACUGCAUCUGAUACUGGAUGGCUUGAGCUCGGGAGAGGGAUGCGGAAUUCCAGGUGUAGCGGUGAAAUGCGUAGAUAUCUGGAGGAACACCGGUGGCGAAGGCGGCAUCCUGGACCGACACUGACGCUGAGGAGCGAAAGCCAGGGGAGCAAAGCGGG